GAUGAACGCUGGCGGCGUGCUUAAUACAUGCAAGUCGAACGAGUGGCGAACGGGUGAGUAAUACGUGAGUAACCUGCCCUCUUUUUGGGAUAAGCCUUGGAAACGGGGUCUAAUACCGGAUAUGGGGGGAUGGGCUCGCGGCCUAUCAGCUUGUUAGUGGGGUGAUGGCCUACCAAGGCGGGGACGGGUAGCAGGCCUGAGAGGGUGGCCUGGAACAGUGAGACGGUGAAACGGCCUAGAGUACUAAGGGAGGCAGCAGUGUGCGAUAUUGCAGAAAGGGCGAAAGACUGAUGCAGCGAGGCCGCGUGGGGGAUGAAGGCUUUAGGGUUGUAAACCUCUGUCGCAAUCGAACGGGUAGGUGGAGAAGAAGCGCCGGCUAACUACGUGCCAGCCGCCGCGGUAAUUC
rnacentral:rRNA from 1 species